GAAAGACUGAAGCUCAGUGGUAGAACAUCUGCUCUGUAAGAGGAAGGUCCCAGGAUCAAUUCCUGGGGACCUUCU